CCACGUCGAACGGGGAGGAUUCUGCACCCAGUCUGUGUGCCUGUGCCCGGCUGCAGGAUGAAAGCCUUAGGGGCAUGGUGUUGCUAGGUACAGAGAAACUGCUUACUGUCCCAGGACUACAUCUUGCUCCUCCUAUCACCCGGCCAGGUCGUGUUCUGUGGAAAUUCUCAUGUCUGGAAGAAGGAAAAAAAUCCUCGUCCAGGUUUUAAAAAGGAAAAGAAAAAUACAGUAAUCUCUUCCUGCAUUUGGAACCUCAUUUACCACUCAGAGCCUUCCUGAGAGCGCCGGGGAUGAACAAUCAGGAGGUCAAGUUGCAGCCGAUCUUUGGAGGAGGAGAAGAGAAAGGAGCAAAAGAAUCCCUACCCUUCUGAAAAAAAUAAAAUAAAAUGCCACCGACAAAAAGCAGAGGGAAGCAUACAGCACCACAUCUAACCUCCAGGAGAAACAUCCUGGCUGCCGUCAGGUAGCUGUUCUGCGUGCUGCCGACCACUGCAGGCCAAAAGAGCCGCGGCGGGGAUGACUUCAAAGUUAAGGAAGCAACUAGGGUGAAAUAAUACUGUCAAUCUUUUUUCAUUUCAUUUGUAAGGGGGGAAUAGCUGAAAUAAAUAACAAACGUGUGACUUUC